CAAGUCGAACGAUGAAGCCCAGCUUGCUGGGUGGAUUAGUGGCGAACGGGUGAGUAACACGUGAGUAACCUGCCCUUGACUCUGGGAUAAGCGCUGGAAACGGCGUCUAAUACCGGAUACGACCUGCCCCGGCAUCGGGUGCGGGUGGAAAGUUUUUCGGUCAAGGAUGGACUCGCGGCCUAUCAGCUUGUUGGUGAGGUAAUGGCUCACCAAGGCGACGACGGGUAGCCGGCCUGAGAGGGUGACCGGCCACACUGGGACUGAGACACGGCCCAGACUCCUACGGGAGGCAGCAGUGGGGAAUAUUGCACAAUGGGCGAAAGCCUGAUGCAGCAACGCCGCGUGGGGGAUGACGGCCUUCGGGUUGUAAACCUCUUUUAGUAGGGAAGAAGGACUUCGGUUUGACGGUACCUGCAGAAAAAGCACCGGCUAACUACGUGCCAGCAGCCGCGGUAAUACGUAGGGUGCAAGCGUUGUCCGGAAUUAUUGGGCGUAAAGAGCUCGUAGGCGGUUUGUCGCGUCUGCUGUGAAAACCCGAGGCUCAACCUCGGGCCUGCAGUGGGUACGGGCAGACUAGAGUGCGGUAGGGGAGAAUGGAAUUCCUGGUGUAGCGGUGGAAUGCGCAGAUAUCAGGAGGAACACCGAUGGCGAAGGCAGUUCUCUGGGCCGUAACUGACGCUGAGGAGCGAAAGCAUGGGGAGCGAACAGGAUUAGAUACCCUGGUAGUCCAUGCCGUAAACGUUGGGCGCUAGAUGUGGGGACCUUUCCACGGUUUCCGUGUCGCAGCUAACGCAUUAAGCGCCCCGCCUGGGGAGUACGGCCGCAAGGCUAAAACUCAAAGGAAUUGACGGGGGCCCGCACAAGCGGCGGAGCAUGCGGAUUAAUUCGAUGCAACGCGAAGAACCUUACCAAGGCUUGACAUAUACCGGAAACUUCCAGAAAUGGUUGCCCCGCAAGGUCGGUAUACAGGUGGUGCAUGGUUGUCGUCAGCUCGUGUCGUGAGAUGUUGGGUUAAGUCCCGCAACGAGCGCAACCCUCGUUCUAUGUUGCCAGCACGUCAUGGUGGGAACUCAUAGGAGACUGCCGGGGUCAACUCGGAGGAAGGUGGGGAUGACGUCAAAUCAUCAUGCCCCUUAUGUCUUGGGCUUCACGCAUGCUACAAUGGCCGGUACAAAGGGCUGCGAUACCGYAAGGUGGAGCGAAUCCCAAAAAGCCGGUCUCAGUUCGGAUUGAGGUCUGCAACUCGACCUCAUGAAGUCGGAGUCGCUAGUAAUCGCAGAUCAGCAACGCUGCGGUGAAUACGUUCCCGGGCCUUGUACACACCGCCCGUCAAGUCAUGAAAGUCGGUAACACCCGAAGCCAGUGGCCUAACCGCAAGGAGGGAGCUGUCGAAGGUGGGAUCGGUGAUUAGGACUAAGUCGUAAC
rnacentral:rRNA from 1 species